UUGUGGGUUGAAUGGGAGCUUGCAUUAUCUAUGUGUACAAUCCUUUACAUUUUCUGCUCUUUAUUUCCAUUUGUGCCAUGCAAAUUAUGUCUUUCAUGUCUGACUUCUUAUCUAUCUAUGCUAAAUAUUGAUAACUCCCUGUUUUUAUGCAUUUGUAAAUUUUAAAUUGGUGGCACUGGCAUCUUUUACCGGUUGCUGCAUGUAGAGAUUAGAGACACUGUAAAGAGAUGUUAGUUUCAUUUAUGAAACCUGCAUGGCCUUCCAUUGAUUGUGUCAAACAGUAUAGAGUUUUUUUUAUAUAGAUUAAACAAUGUGCAACUUACCAGAUCUGAUGAACAAAAGUAUUCCUUUAUUCUGUUUAGGGGAAGAGAACAAAAUGCUUCUAGUUUGUAGCUAUGGCUAAGCACUUUAUAAGUUUGCUGUUGGUCACUACUACUUAUGCACCCCUCUGCUGUGUUCCAAAUUUCCUGUUUUGAUUCAGCUGUCCGUCAGACCUAUAUUUUGUACUUGACCUCUCACUAUACUGUUGAGUUUGUAUGUUGUUGUCAAUCUAAACCUAUAUUUGAGGCAUCUUCAGGUUUUGUUGACCAUGAUGUAGCUUACAUGAUUUUCUUGUCGACUACCCAGCAUCCUGAACUGUGUAUUGAGUGCACAUUGAACUCCGUUCUAUUCUUUUUUGUUACCCAAAUGUUCUGAUCUUGUACUUCGUCACAGGGUUCGAUCUAUUCACCUAUGCGAUCUGGGAUCUUGAUAGCAAUUUAGCUGCCAAUUUGGCAUCCUGCUUGCUAAUACUUGUUACUGUCAUUCAGCCAAUCCAUUAGUGCUGUUCUGGAGUAUCCGAAGGUGCCCGUAACUGUACUGUUUUCCUGGUGAUUGAAAGAACUUUUCAGCUGGUAAAUUUUGGUGGGUCCUCUCCUUUCGUAUAUUCCAGAAUACGUAUACAAGGAUCUCAUUGUAAUUGUUUCUCUUGUUAUACUUGCCGGGUUUCAGAGUCUGGUGGAUGCAUAUUUUCAGGAUCCAGUUUAAGUUUCAUUUUAGAAGUUUAUCAUCAUGAACGUUGCGCUGCUGUAAUUUUUUAUCGUUACCUGUGCUCAAGUGGCAUUCCUACCACAGGGUUGUGCUGCUGUAAUUUCUUGUUAAGUCAAUAUCAUGUUGAGUCAACGUUGCUCAGGGUUGUGCUGCUGUAAUUUCUUGUUAAGUCAAUAUCAUGUUGAGUCAACGUUGCUCAAGGUGUGGGAUGCUACAUGAUACGGUAAAACGUACAGUAAAAUUUAUCAUAGUCAAAGUCAAAGAUGGUUGAUUAUCUUAUCAGUAUUUGGUUUGUCAUCCUCACACUUUCAGGAGAUUGUUUUGUUGAUCCGAAACUAGCCAAGCUAUUUUUUUUUUCUUCCGAGAAUCAGGGAGUAAGCUUUAUUCAAUAUUUUUUUUUGAAGGAAAUGGUUAUUCAAUUAUUGUUUAAUUAACGGGCAACAACAACGAACGACGGCCAACAGCAAGGGCAUGAUCAACUUCGUCGACG
rnacentral:lncRNA from 1 species